rnacentral:rRNA from 1 species
UCCACGCCGUAAACGAUGAAUACUAGGUGUCGGGCGUCAAAACUCGGUGCCGCAGCUAACGCAUUAAGUAUUCCGCCUGGGGAGUACGCACGCAAGUGUGAAACUCAAAGGAAUUGACGGGGACCCGCACAAGCAGCGGAGCAUGUGGUUUAAUUCGAAGCAACGCGAAGAACCUUACCAGGUCUUGACAUCUCUCUGAUCGACUCUUAGCCGAGUCUUCCCUUCGGGGCAGAGAUGACAGGUGGUGCAUGGUUGUCGUCAGCUCGUGUCGUGAGAUGUUGGGUUAAGUCCCGCAACGAGCGCAACCCUUGUGUUUAGUUGCCAACAGGUUAAGCUGUGCACUCUAAACAGACUGCCGUGGAUAACACGGAGGAAGGUGGGGAUGACGUCAAAUCAUCAUGCCCCUUAUGAUCUGGGCUACA